AGUAACCUGCCUUGGAGUGGGAAUAACAGCUGGAAACAGCUGCUAAUACCGCAUAAUGCAGUUGGGUCGCAUGGCUCUGACUGCCAAAGAUUUAUCGCUCUGAGAUGGACUCGCGUCUGAUUAGCUAGUUGGCGGGGUAACGGCCCACCAAGGCGACGAUCAGUAGCCGGACUGAGAGGUUGGCCGGCCACAUUGGGACUGAGACACGGCCCAGACUCCUACGGAAGGCAGCAG
rnacentral:rRNA from 1 species